CGGCACCUGACCGGGAGUUCUUUUAACCUCGCUCUCUCUCUCCCUCUUUCUCUCCCCUCUCCGCCACCAACCCCGGCCGCCCGGGAGUACCGUACCAGAGUUUCAGUUCUCAUAAUGCAGUUUCCAGGAACCUCGUCGGAUCAUGGACAGCUUGUGGGACGAUAACUGGAUAAUGGCCUUUCGCGAAAAACGAUGGUUAUUAGUUCUUUUGUUGGUUCAUUUCAUUUGCUCACUGGAUUCUAAUUCUGAAAAUAUGCAAAACGGAUUUGGCGGACGGGCAAUAUAUUUGUUACGUGGGUUGCAUUCUCUCAAAUGAAAAGCAAAAAGAAUCAAGGUAUGACUAGGAACUUGAUUAUCAGUUCUUGUUCAAACACUGGGUGUUCUCGAAAUUUAGGUCCCAGUUACAGAAUGACAAGGCUGUUCAAAACAUCUUAUAUAAGCUGGAAUCUGGUCGUCGUUGUUGUCGAAAUGCUCGUUGCUAUCGAAUUCUGAGUAAUAUAUUCAAAAUACUAGGGUCGUUCACCCCUAAUAAACAUGACUAAUCAACUAGAGCUUUCCCAACUUCCGAAAGAAUUUGAGAAUAUAUGUAUGACAAUUAGGAAUUCUUUUGGGUGGCCAGAAGUAAUAACCGUCCUGAUGUAGUAUCUUUGUUUUUGCAUAGAUGUUUCUAGACGUUUUGAGGAAACAUUAUCAAGCGUAAGUUUUACAACUUUAGACAUUAUAAGAAAAAAUUAUCGAAUAUAAGUUUUAGAACUCAUUAGUAAUGCUUAUUAUCAAGUACUUAAAGGUAAUCUUCAAUUGAGCCAUUCCUUUAUUACAUGGACAACUUCAGUAUUAUGUCGCAUUACUACACCAUGUUUGAGAUCGAUUUUUAACAGCAACCUAUCACCUGUCUGCUACUUUUUUGCAACCUUAGAAACUGUUUGUAUUUUCUUUUAUAACACCUGUGAUGUGAACUAUUGAAACCUUUGAGUGGCAGUCAGGGAUUUUUUCUGAUCUUUCCUUUUAUUCUAGCUGCAUCGGAUAUUGCUCUAAAUACAUAUCUUGUAUUUUGAAGUGUUAUGCAUGUAAGGUACUUAUGUUUAGUAUCAAUUUCCCUGUGCCAGCUACAAAAAGGAUUAAGACAAAGUUUGAUGUUUAAGUUCAAGUGUUUCUUUA